rnacentral:rRNA from 1 species
AGUGAACGCUGGCGGUAGGCCUAACACAUGCAAGUCGAACGGCAGCACAGUAAGAGCUUGGUCUUACGGGUGGCGAGUGGCGGACGGGUGAGGAAUACAUCGGAAUCUACUUUUUCGUGGGGGAGAACGUAGCGAAACUUACGCCAAUACAGCAGACGACCUACGGUGGAAAGCAUGGGAUCUUCGGACCUUGCGCGAUUGAAUGAGCCGAUGUCGGAUUAGCUAGUUGGCUGGGUAAAGGCCAACCAAGGCGAGGAUCCGUAGCUGGUCUGCGAGGAUGGUAGCCCACACGAGAGGUCGAACACGGUCCAGGGUCCUAAGGGAGGGAGCAGAGGGGGAUAUUGGGCAAUAGGGGCGAGCCUUAUCCAGCCAUACCGCGUGGGUGACGAAGACCUUCGGGUUGUGAAGACCUUUUGUUGGGAAAAAAACGCAGCAGGUUAAGACCCCGCGGUUGUGACGGUACCCAAAGAAUAAGCACCGGCUAACUACGUG